rnacentral:rRNA from 1 species
GUGAACGCUGGCGGCAGGCCUAAUACAUGCAAGUCGAACGGCAGCACAGUGGAGCUUGCUCCAUGGGUGGCGAGUGGCGGCCGGGUGAGGAAUACAUGGGAAUCUGCCCAGUCGUGGGGGAUAACGUAGGGAAACUUACGCUAAUACCGCAUGCGCCCUUCGGGGGAAAGCCGGGGACCUUCGGGCCUGGCGCGAUUGGAUGAGCCCAUGUUCGAUUAGCUAGUUGGCGGGGUAAAGGCCCACCAAGGCGACGAUCGAUAGCUGGUCUGAGAGGAUGAUCAGCCACACUGGGACUGAGACACGGCCCAGACUCCUACGGGAGGUAGCAGUAGGGAAUAUUGGACAAUGGGCGCAAGCCUGAUCCAGCCAUGCCGCGUGAGUGAAGAAGGCCCUCGGGUUGUAAAGCUCUUUUGUCCGGGAAGAAAAGCAUCGGGCUAAUACCUCGGUGUUCUGACGGUACCGGAAGAAUAAGCACCGGCUAACUUCGUG